rnacentral:rRNA from 1 species
GAUGAACGCUAGCGGCAGGCUUAACACAUGCAAGUCGAGGGGUAUAGAAAGCUUGCUUUCUAGAGACCGGCAAACGGGUGCGGAACACGUACACAACCUACCUUUAUCAGGGGGAUAGCCUUCGGAAACGGAGAUUAAUACCCCAUAGUAUUAUGGAGUGGCAUCAUUUUAUAAUUAAAGAAUUUCGGAUAGAGAUGGGUGUGCGUAAGAUUAGCUAGUUGGUGAGGUAAAGGCUCACCAAGGCAACGAUCUUUAGCUGAUGUGAGAGCAUGAUCAGCCACACGGGCACUGAGACACGGGCCCGACUCCUACGGGAGGCAGCAGUGAGGAAUAUUGGUCAAUGGACGGAAGUCUGAACCAGCCAUGCCGCGUGAAGGAUGAAGGCGUUCUGCGUUGUAACUUCUUUUAUUUAGGAAGAAACCACUUUUUUUUAAGAGUGUUGACGGUAUUAAAUGAAUAAGCACCGGCUAACUCCGUGCCAGCCGCCGCCGUAAGAC